rnacentral:tRNA from 1 species
GGUGUUGUGAUUUAGUGGUAGAGUGCUCUCCUAGCUCGUGUGAGGCCCUGGGUUCGAUCCUCAGCACCACUU